AAUGAACCGACGAUCGGAGCACUGGGGACGGAAUGAAGAGAACGUCUGGAAAGGGACUGUGGGGGCAGACGUGCCAAUGAGAGAGAAAGGGGUGGGGUAGGGCGGCUGACGCCCGGUUUAGGCGGAGAGCGCCGGGCAGAGGGGGAGGGGGACGAAGCUGGUGGCGAAGCGGCUCAGGAGAACCGGGGCUGGAGGAGCGGCAAGAGUACCCAGAAAGUGCCCUCUCCGCGGGGGUCUGCGGCCAAGGAGGAUCCUGCUCGUGGAAUAGCUACCAAAUCGGCCUCCAGCCCACCCCAGGGGCGGGGUAGAGAAAGGGCAAACUGUGACCGGGACUUGUGCACCCGAUUAAUUGAAUAUUAAUCACCCCAAGGCCUAGGCCAACCGCCACCCAGAGAGUGGCAGCUGCAGAACCCAAAGACGUGGAGCCGGGCUGGGGGUGGGGAAGGGAGGCCGCCACAGCUCCCGCCCCGCCGGCAGUUUAACUGCUUCCGCAGCCUCAGGCCUCCCGGUGCGACCCCGGCUGCGACUCGGAUCCGUUUAUUCCAAAUGUCCCAGCCCACGCCGUGCCCAGAGUGUGGCGACACGAGGCCAAACUGCGUAGCAACGACGCCUGAUUGGCUGCGCUGGUCCCUUCGCAACGAGGCGAUUGGCUGCCUGGUAUCCAGGAGACCGACGUCAAACUCGGACUGGGAAAAGGGGAAAGUCUGGGGGGAGCGAAGGAGGGGACGGGGAGAAAGAAGCAAUGAAUGAAACGCCCAUCGCCUGGCCUUCCCCUUUCCCCUUUCCCCUCUCCUCUCCAUUCUUGGAGCACUUCCUGGAAAAACACCAGUUGGGGCGCCGCCUUCCCCUCCAAACGUUGGGGCCUGCACUCUCAACCUGCUAUAAGGAAGUUAAACCGCAGCUCACCGAGGAGUAGGGUGUCUACGGGGCGGGCCCGUGUAGACCAGCUGUGCUCCUCGGGCACAAACCCGCCGUACAUGCCAGGCCUAGAAGCUUUUGGCUUUGUGGACGCAAAAUCUGGUUGGAGCCGCCUUCUCCACCCUGACUCUCCCGCCUCUCCUUUUUAGAAGGAACCGCACUGAGAAAGGGUAUUUCUGAAGGCUCAAUGCGUAGGAGAAGGGGUGGGAAGAUGGGUUUGUGGAAUGGGCUGAGGGUGGGGAGUGGUCAGGUGACUGAUUUCAUGUUUAUUGUACAGAUUCCUAAAACAUAGUUUUACUAAGUGACUCCUUAAAUUCUGAUUAAUGUGAUUUUUUUUUUUUUUUGAGU
rnacentral:lncRNA from 1 species